rnacentral:rRNA from 1 species
GCGCAAUGGGCGAAAGCCUGACGCAGCAACGCCGCGUGGAGGAUGAAGGCUUUCGGGUUGUAAACUCCUUUCAGCAGGGACGAAACUGACGGUACCUGCAGAAGAAGCCCCGGCUAACUACGUGCCAGCAGCCGCGGUGAGACGUAGGGGGCAAGCGUUGUCCGGAUUUAUUGGGCGUAAAGAGCUCGUAGGCGGCUUGGCAAGUCGGAUGUGAAAUCUCCAGGCUUAACCUGGAGUCGCCAUCCGAUACUGCUAUGGCUAGAGUCCGGUAGAGGAUCGUGGAAUUCCUGGUGUAGCGGUGAAAUGCGCAGAUAUCAGGAGGAACACCAACGGCGAAGGCAGCGAUCUGGGCCGGUACUGACGCUGAGGAGCGAAAGCGUGGGGAGCGAACAGGAUUAGAUACCCUGGUAGUCCACGCCCUAAACGUUGGGCACUAGGUGUGGGGCCUAUUUCGACGGGUUCCGUGCCGUAGCUAACGCAUUAAGUGCCCCGCCUGGGGAGUACGGUCGCAAGGCUAAAACUCAAAGGAA